rnacentral:lncRNA from 1 species
UAUAUAUAUAGGAAUUCUCCGCACCUGAGUUUUGGUCCGGAUUUCCAUUUUUGCACCAUUUCCCGAUAGAAUUUCCUCAAACUUCCUUCUAGACAUAUCUAGAUCAUCUUGUGUAGAUCAUCUCUGCAAAAUUUCAACCAAAUUGGUGAUUGUUAAGGCCCUCAAAAUCGAAAAACAAAUCUGACGGACUGAAUUCUGUCCGGUUCAGGUAUAUAACAUAAAACGCAAGUUUGAGGGCCUUAACGAUCACCAAAUUGGCUGAAAAUUUGUAGAGAUGAUCUACACAAGAUGAUCUAGAUAUGUCUAGAAAGAAGUUUGAGGAAAUUAGAUCGGGAAGUGAUGCAAAAAUGGAAAUCCGCACCAAAAACUUUGGUGCGAACGUCCGCAGCUAAGAAGGCCUGUAUAUAUAUAUUUAUAUAUUUAUAUGAAAGACUACAUUUGAAGCCAUAAAUAAAUAAAAUAAAAAACAAACAAUCUCACCACACUGUAUAACCACAUUGUUGAAGAUUGAAGUGAUUCUCAAAUGUCCCAAAUCUGAUUUGAAAGAUGUAGAGAAUUGUUUUUUUUUUUCGAUGUAAAGAUGUAGAGAAUUGUUGUUGUUUGGAUUUUAUAGAUUUUAAUUUAAUAUUAUAUUUUCACAAAAAUUCUUGAUAAUGGGGUUAGUAUUAGAAUAUUUAGUUAAAAUUAAAAUAUAGGGUAAAAAAAUAUUUGAUGGGGUGACAAUAGCCGCACCCUAUAAUAAUUGCUCUCAUUUUUUUUUUUUUGGUUUACAUAAUUGCUCUCAUUUUUUAUCCAUAGUAAUGCCAUUUUG